AAACCGUUUAGGGGUAAACCUGAGAAACCCGAAAGGUCGAAGGGAGAAAUUCAUUCGCGUCUCGACGCAGGCGUCGGACGGGGUCGAGCGACGGUACGCGAGGCGUUUUCUUCGGAAUCGCUCGCGUUUCGCGCCCUCCGUCCUUCGAACCGGCUGCGAACGCGUGCACUUUUCUCCUGGUAGGACGUCGCGAUCCGUCGGGUGUCGGUCUACGACUUGCGGUGGAGACCGUCCGUCGCGUCUCUCGCGAGACGUACGGACGGACCCGCUCGUUCCGGCCGACUCGCUCGACGGUACACUUAAGGUCGGAGGUCGCUCGAUCUAUAAUAUAGAGAAGAAGCGUUCGACUCGUCGCAAGCGCGCCACGUGCGUCGGCACGCGGACCCGGUGCCGCGUCCGACCUCUGGUGACUGUUGGCGACGACGUUCUCGGACGGACCUCUCUCGCGCGCGCCGCGAUCUCGGCGAGACGGGAUUCUCGUAAUUUCGUCUCUCGGGGUCCGGUCGCGACGAGGACCGAUCGGCGACGCUAUAGC
rnacentral:rRNA from 1 species